ACCUGCAGAAAACACCUAGCCGUCAAAGCCUUCUCUCCCUCCGUCCCUAUCCAGUUCAGAACUCAGAUCUUGGGGGAAGGUUCAUGAAGAUCUUGGGGCCGGAGUCGGUCGUCAUCGCCGCCUGCAACCAUCGGAGGCUGAGCUGUGGCCGUCCCACGGCAAGAAGCAGGUAUAUCUAUAAACUGUAAUCUGUUGCUAGCUGUGCCGCGAUUUGCCAUGAGAGGCCGUGAAAGGUUUGUAGAUCGAGACUUACCAUGCAUCACCAUUUACACCGCCGUACUCUUGCCCGCUGAUAGCCGGCGUGAUCCAUCCAUCGCUUUACAGGUUUCGUCAUUCCCGGGAUGAUCACUACGCAGAUUGAAUUCUCGAUUUGAAAGCCUUUAUCUUAUUCUACAUUCUUCAAACAAUUUGUUUCCUAGGAUUCUAAUCUAUUUUAUAUUUUCUGGAUUUAGAUUUGUUGCGUCAAAUGGGAUCAAGCUUUGGAUUCUAGGACUUCUGACAAUGCGUGAAGGGUGGAGACAAGAAGACUAAAGACAAUCUACUCAUUGUUUUUACCUUUUAUAUGCGAGACAAAUAAGUGGCCUGUAAAUAGGUUAUCAUCUAUGUAAUUUUUGUCAUUUGUUCC